ensembl:snRNA U6 U6 spliceosomal RNA
GUGCUCACUUUGGCAGCACACACACUAAAAUUGGAAUGAUACAGAGAAGAUUAGCAUGGCCCCUGAGCUAGGAUGCCACGCAAAUUUGAGAAACGUUCCAUAUUAAA